rnacentral:tRNA from 1 species
GUAGCACAGUCUCGUCAGCGCAUCUGUUUUGGGUACAGAGGGCAAUAGGUUCGAAUCCUAUC